GAUGAACGCUAGCGGCAGGCUUAAUACAUGCAAGUCGAGGGGUAACAUGGGGUAGCAAUACUCUGAUGACGACCGGCAAACGGGUGCGGAACACGUACGCAACUUUCCCAAAACUGGUGAAUAGCCCUCCGAAAGGAGGAUUAAUACACCGUAACAUAUAGAGGUGGCAUCGCCUUUAUAUUAUAGCUCCGGCGGUUUUGGAUGGGCGUGCGCCUGAUUAGGUAGUUGGUGUGGUAACGGCUCACCAAGCCUACGAUCAGUAACUGGUGUGAGAGCACGACCAGUCACACGGGCACUGAGACACGGGCCCGACUCCUACGGGAGGCAGCAGUAAGGAAUAUUGGUCAAUGGACGAAAGUCUGAACCAGCCAUGCCGCGUGAAGGAUGAAGGCCCUCUGGGUUGUAAAGCUCUUUUACCCCUGACGAUAAUGACGGUAAGGGGAGAAAAAGCCACGGCUAACUUCGUG
rnacentral:rRNA from 1 species